rnacentral:rRNA from 1 species
UGGGGAAUAUUGCACAAUGGAGGGAACUCUGAUGCAGCGACGCCGCGUGAACGAAGAAGGCUUUCGAGUCGUAAAGUUCUUUUAUAUGGGAAGAUAAUGACGGUACCAUAAGAAAAAGCCCCGGCUAACUACGUGCCAGCAGCCGCGGUAAUACGUAGGGGGCUAGCGUUGUCCGGAAUCACUGGGCGUAAAGGGUUCGCAGGCGGAAAUGCAAGUCAGGUGUAAAAGGCAGUAGCUUAACUACUGUAAGCAUUUGAAACUGCAUAUCUUGAGAAGAGUAGAGGUAAGUGGAAUUUUUAGUGUAGCGGUGAAAUGAGUAGAUAUUAAAAUGAAUACAGGUGGCGAAGGAGACUUACUGGGCUCAUUCUGACGGUGAGGAACGAAAGCGUGGGUAGCAAACAGG